rnacentral:rRNA from 1 species
GACGAACGCUGGCGGCGUGCUUAACACAUGCAAGUCGAACGGAAAGGCCCUGCUUUUGUGGGGUGCUCGAGUGGCGAACGGGUGAGUAACACGUGAGUAACCUGCCCUUGACUUUGGGAUAACUUCAGGAAACUGGGGCUAAUACCGGAUAGGAGCUCCUGCUGCAUGGUGGGGGUUGGAAAGUUUCGGCGGUUGGGGAUGGACUCGCGGCUUAUCAGCUUGUUGGUGGGGUAGUGGCUUACCAAGGCUUUGACGGGUAGCCGGCCUGAGAGGGUGACCGGCCACAUUGGGACUGAGAUACGGCCCAGACUCCUACGGGAGGCAGCAGUGGGGAAUAGUGCACAAUGGGCGGAAGCCUGAUGCAGCAACGCCGCGUGCGGGAGAACGGCCUUCGGGUUGUAAACCGCUUUCGCCUGUGACGAAGCGUGAGUGACGGUAAUGGGUAAAGAAGCACCGGCUAACUACGUG